CUUGUACAGAGCGAAACGGCAUCACUGAUCGAGUCUUUUCUCUUUCUUUCAUGAUAAAGACAGUUUGUUCAAAACAAUAAAACGGAGAAUGGAAUGGAUCGAGAAUCAAGUUUCGUAGCUUUUCUGAACAACAUCACAGAUUGGAAGACCUACAUAAUGCAGCGAGCAAAACACAACAGCAGCAAGCAGUUGUUCGACUUAUUCCAUGAAUGGGCCCCCACGAAUCGGAUAUUUUAUUUCGAAGAAAAAUGAAUGAAAAUGCAACAGUUGCAGACGAAAACGGCAGUAUUUAUUUGUCGAUGCUCGGAAAAAUGAUAUGCAUCCUGAGCAUAUCCGUAAAGUUAUUCGUGGUUAUAGUGAUAUGAAGAGAACCGUGCGGAGAGUUUUGCAGUGAUGAACUUGUAUGCUAACGUUCCGGUGCUGCAUCAUAUCGUCUCGUGAUGUGCGGUUAGAAAUAAGACCGAUGCCGUUCCAACGUAUCCAACGAUAUACUGAUAGCGUGUAGGAACCAGAACAAUUGAAGGUUAUCAAAAAUGAUUCAAGGUCAAUUCCUGCGAACAUGACAACAGCUUUUGACUGAAGUGGCGUGUUUCAACACAAAAAGUAACCACCACCAGCAUCGCUAUGUGGAUGUAUAAACGGAUCCUAUAUACUAUGACUUUCAUCAUGACAUAGUCCCCGGAUAUUGUUCAUGGGAGGUCUAAAUUUUCACCUAUUACCAAGGACCGUUAGUAUUGAAAAUUGGAAUGAUUGCGAUAGCAUUUUGUCAGCCCAUUCGCGCUAAAUGAUUGCUAUUUGUGUAAUAAUAUGCGAAGAUGUUUAUAUUAUUGUGAAACUCGCAAAAAUAUUUCGAGAUAGACGAGCGGUCUUCGUAAGUUAGGUGAUUUUGAGAUAACGUGAGAUAACGAUUAUAAUUGUUACAUUUUUCAUAUUGCCCAAGAAUGAUUUCUUCAUUCGUCGCGACAGUACGCAGAAUACCAGAGGAUGUCACGGAUUGAUAUUAUGGAACUGAUGAAUUGUAAUACUGAACGCUAUUCCGGUAGGGAAUGAUCGGUAGACAAUCAAACAAAAUAGUAACGAAAUUAAAUUUAAAAAUAAAUUUAAUUAUAUGUAUUUGUACAUUUUACUUUCUAUUUGAUCAUACUUGAAAAUAAAUAUAGUCAUAAUAAGGGUCGAGUAGUUUCGCAUUCGGUCGAUUGGCACAGUGUUGGCCCGUAUUUGGUUGUCAAACACGAAGGAUAGGUCGACAAAAUCAUUGCAAAAUGGUACGAUGUCGGUACCGAUGGGCCCUAUUAUAGAAAUCGAGGCGAUAAGAAUUUUGCUCGUUAGCUCUAUAUUACUAUUAUAGAAAUCGAGCAAUUCGAUAGCACCGAGCAAGUGAUAGCUAUCGAUGCAAGUGUCAGAACUUUUCGAGUUGUUUGGUUCGCUUGUUGCAUAUCUUCAGCGAAUUAUUUUGUUUUGGUUUGCGUCCCUGAUAUUUUCCUUUGGGAAACGUUUCAGAAACGCUUCAAUAUAUGCAAUUUGCAACACAUGUUCGUUUGUUUUGAUCAGCAUUUAUUUUACUGUGCUGCCAGAAUAGUGUAUACAAGCGCAUAUUUCAGUGGCUGAAGAUAAGUGGCGGAAGAAAAUAAAACCAAAUCACCACCAGUUUGAACGGCUCGUUGAUCCAAUGAAAGCGAAUGUAGACAUUGCUCGUUGUUUUUGAGGAGGCAGUUCUAAUAUAAUCCCGGUGUAAGAAAAGUUAGAGGAAUUCAGAGAGGAGCUUAAUGCACUGAGACCACCAAUGCAUCUUGGUUGGUAGAAAGUUUGGAUUGACAUGAGGGGAAACGUAAAGAAAACACUAGCACACAACAAGCGAGAAUUUAGAGCAACAGGUGGUGGCUCCAAUACAAUAAAGCUAUUGACGCCGCUACAACAAGAAAUCGACGCUAAAAGAGAAUUACAUGUUGCAUUACAUGAAUAACAAAAAUUUGUUUUGCUAAAGAAAAAGUGAAAUUCGUGCGUGACUCUUUUCGGAAUUCCAUAGAUUGCAGUCAUGAAAAUGCACGAAUAAGUUCAUUUUCUGAUAAUUAUAUUUUUUUGUAAAGCAACUUGUUCCACGCUGUCGUUUCUAUUACACAUGCAUGCGUGCUUUACGCUUAUUAAGCUUUAUUCUUUGAGGGAAUAUCAAUUUACUCCAAAACAUAACCAUAUUAACACUUUUGGAAAUACAUUUUCAUAGCAGAUGCCUCAAAAAAAGAUUUGGCAUCUUUUCUAUAGUGCUUCGUGAAACAUUUCGAACUUGUUUCAAAAUAUUUUAUCACAACCGCUGACAUUCGAGCUUGCUAACGAAUCGAGCAGUUUUGCUCGAUUUCUAUAAUUCCAGAUUUUACUCUGUGUGAUAGUGAUAGUGAUUGUAUCGAAUCCUCGAUUCGAUUUCUAUAAUAGGGCCCGAUGUCGACAUUAUUUUCUGGGACCAAUUUGGCACAACAAAGUAGAGUGGGAGGUUUGACUUGGUUAUUGAAUACGAAGGGUAGGUCGAUAAAAUCAUUGCAAAAUGGCACGAUAUCGGCACCGUUUGUUGGGACCGAUCUGGCACAACAAUGUAGAGUGGGAAGUGUCAGAACUUUUCGAGUUGUUUGGUUCACUUGUUGCAUAUCUUCAGAGAAUUAUUUUGUUUUGGUUUGCGUCCCUGAUAUUUUCCUUUGGGAAACAUUUCAGAAACGCGUAAUUAUAUGCAAUUUUCAACACAUGUUCGUUUGUUUCAAUCAGUAUUUGUUUUACUGUGCAGCCAGAAUAGUCUAUAAAGGGUAAGUGUUCAAUCCAGCAUUAUUCAUCAUGUUAUAAUUUACAAUGCAGAACUCACUUCCAGCGCAUAUUUCAGUGGGUGAAAAUGAGUGGACAGACAAAUCACCACCAGUUUGAACGACUCGUUGAACCAAUGAAAGCGAAUGUAAACAUUGCUCGAGGUAUUUGUGGAGGCA